GGGGUUGUGGCUCAGCGUUAGAGCAUUCGCCUAGCAUGUGGGAGGCCCUGAGUUCCAUCCUCAGCACCA
rfam:Ictidomys tridecemlineatus contig102070, whole genome shotgun sequence.